AGAGUUUGAUCCUGGCUCAGAAUGAACGCUGGCGGCGUGCUUAACACAUGCAAGUUGCACGAGAACGCCUCAGCUUGCUGAGGCAAGUAAAGUGGCGCACGGGUGAGUAACGCGUGGGUAAUCUACCUCCGAAUUGGGGAUAACAUUGCGAAAGCGGUGCUAAUACCGAAUAAUAUCCCUGGGACCCCGGUCUUGGUGAUCAAAGGUGGCCUCUACAUGUAAGCUACCGUUUGGAGAUGAGCCCGCGUACCAUUAGCUAGUUGGUAGGGUAACGGCCUACCAAGGCUGCGAUGGUUAGCUGGUCUGAGAGGAUGAUCAGCCACACUGGAACUGACACACGGUCCAGACUCCUACGGGAGGCAGCAGUGAGGAAUUUUGCGCAAUGGGGGAAACCCUGACGCAGCAACGCCGCGUGAGUGAUGAAGGCCUUCGGGUCGUAAAGCUCUGUCAAGUGGGAAGGACCUGCUCUGUGAUAACACCACGGGGCGCCGACGGUACCACUGAAGGAAGCACCGGCUAACUCCGUGCCAGCAGCCGCGGUAGUACGGGGGGUGCUAGCGUUAUUCGGAAUCAUUGGGCGUAAAGGGCGCGUAGGCGGUCUUUUAAGUCAGAUGUGAAAGCCCUCGGCUUAACCGAGGAAGAGCAUUUGAUACUAAGAGACUUGAGUAUGGGAGAGGGAAGCGGAAUUCCUGGUGUAGCGGCGAAAUGCGUAGAUAUCAGGAGGAACACCGGUGGCGAAGGCGGCUUCCUGGACCAAUACUGACGCUGAGGCGCGAAGGCGUGGGGAGCAAACAGGAUUAGAUACCCUGGUAGUCCACGCAGUAAACGGUGAACACUAGGUGUGGCGGGUAUUGACCCCUGCUGUGCCGAAGCUAACGCAUUAAGUGUUCCGCCUGGGAAGUACGGCCGCAAGGUUAAAACUCAAAGGAAUUGACGG
rnacentral:rRNA from 1 species